rnacentral:rRNA from 1 species
AUUGAACGCUGGCGGCAUGCCUUACACAUGCAAGUCGAACGGCAACGGGCCUUCGGGUGCCGACGAGUGGCGAACGGGUGAGUAAUGUAUCGGAACGUACCUUUCAGUGGGGGAUAACGUAGCGAAAGUUACGCUAAUACCGCAUAUUCUGUGCGCAGGAAAGCAAGGGAUCGCAAGACCUUGCGCUGAUUGAGCGGCCGAUAUCAGAUUAGCUAGUUGGUGAGGUAAAGGCUCACCAAGGCGACGAUCUGUAGCGGGUCUGAGAGGAUGAUCCGCCACACUGGAACUGAGACACGGUCCAGACUCCUACGGGAGGCAGCAGUGGGGAAUUUUGGACAAUGGGGGCAACCCUGAUCCAGCCAUGCCGCGUGAGUGAAGAAGGCCUUCGGGUUGUAAAGCUCUUUCGGCCGGGAAGAAAUCGUAUCAGCUAAUACCUGGUGCGGAUGACGGUACCGGCAUAAGAAGCACCGGCUAACUACGUGCCAGCAGCCGCCGUAAAAC